rnacentral:rRNA from 1 species
GAUGAACGCUGGCGGCGUGCCUAAUACAUGCAAGUCGAGCGAACAGACGCGGCGCUUGCUCCUCUGACGUUAGCGGCGGACGGGUGUGAAACACGUGGAUAACCUCCCUAUAAGACUGGUAUAACUUCGGGACACCGGAGCAUAUACCGGAUAAUAUCUUGAACCGCAUGGUUCAAUAGUGAAAGUCGGUUUUGCUGUCACUUAUAGCUGGAUAUGCGCCGGAUUGGCUAGUUGGUAAGGUAACGGGUUACCAAGGCGACGAUGCGUAGGCGACGUGAGAGAGUGGUCGGCGGCACGGGAGCUGAGACAGGGACCAGACUCCUACGGUAGGCAGCAGUAGGGAAUGGUCGGCAGUGGGCGGAAGCUUGACAGAGCGACGCGGCGUGAGUGGUAGAGGUCUUCGGUUCGUAAAACUCUGUUAUGAGGGAAAAACAAAUGUGUAAGGAACCAUGGACGGCGUGACGGUACCUAGUCAGAAAGCCACGGCUAACUACGUG